AGCAGCCGCGGUAAUUCCAGCUCCAAUAGCGUAUAUUAAAGUUGCUGCAGUUAAAAAGCUCGUAGUUGAAUUUCGGGACCAUCAUGUCGGUCGUGCCUAGGUACGUACUGGCAUUGUUGGUUUCUCCCUUCUGACGAACCACGAUGUCACUUAUUUGGUGUUGUGGGGAAUCAGGACUGUUACUUUGAAAAAAUUAGAGUGUUUAAAGCAGGCUCACGCUUGAAUACAUUAGCAUGGAAUAAUGAAAUAGGACGUUUGAUUCUAUUUUGUUGGUUUCUAGGAUCGACGUAAUGAUUAAUAGGGAUAGUUGGGGGCAUUAGUAUUCAAUUGUCAGAGGUGAAAUUCUUGGAUUUAUUGAAGACUAACUACUGCGAAAGCAUUUGCCAAGGAUGUUUUCAUUAAUCAAGAACGAAAGUUAGGGGAUCGAAGACGAUCAGAUACCGUCGUAGUCUUAACCAUAAACUAUGCCGACUAGGGAUCGGAUGAUGUUAAUUUUUUAAUGACUCA
rnacentral:rRNA from 1 species